UACGAAGGGUGCUAGCGUUGUUCGGAAUUAUUGGGCGUAAAGCGUGCGUAGGCGGCUUUGUAAGUCGAUUGUGAAAGCCCGGGGCUCAACCCUGGAAUUGCAAUCGAAACUGCAUUGCUGGAGUAUGGUAGAGGACAGUGGAAUUCCUAGUGUAGGGGUGAAAUCCGUAGAUACUAGGAGGAAUAUCAGAAGCGAAGGCGACUGUCUGGACCAUUACUGACGCUGAGGCACGAAAGCGUGGGGAGCAAACAGG
rnacentral:rRNA from 1 species